rnacentral:rRNA from 1 species
UACGGGGGGGGCAAGCGUUGUUCGGAAUUACUGGGCGUAAAGCGCGCGUAGGCGGCUUUUCAAGUCAGACGUGAAAGCCCCAGGCUUAACCUGGGAAUUGCGUUUGAUACUGUUAAGCUAGAGUGUGGAAGGGGCUACUGGAAUUCCGUGUGUAGCGGUGAAAUGCUUAGAUAUGACAUAGAACACCAAUUGCGAAGGCAGCUGGCUACGCGAAUAUUGACACUGAGGCACGAAAGCGUGGGGAUCAAACAGG